UACGGAGGGAGCUAGCGUUGUUCGGAAUUACUGGGCGUAAAGCGCACGUAGGCGGCGAUUCAAGUCAGAGGUGAAAGCCCGGGGCUCAACCCCGGAACUGCCUUUGAAACUAGAUUGCUAGAAUCCUGGAGAGGUUAGUGGAAUUCCGAGUGUAGAGGUGAAAUUCGUAGAUAUUCGGAAGAACACCAGUGGCGAAGGCGACUAACUGGACAGGUAUUGACGCUGAGGUGCGAAAGCGUGGGGAGCAAACAGGAUUAGAAACCCCCGUAGUCC
rnacentral:rRNA from 1 species